rnacentral:rRNA from 1 species
CAGCAGCCGCGGGAAUACGAAGGGUGCAAGCGUUAAUCGGAAUUACUGGGCGUAAAGCGUGCGUAGGCGGUUUGUUAAGUCUGCUGUGAAAUCCCCGGGCUCAACCUGGGAAUGGCAGUGGAUACUGGCAAGCUAGAGUGUGUCAGAGGAUGGUGGAAUUCCCGGUGUAGCGGUGAAGUGCGUAGAGAUCGGGAGGAACAUCAGUGGCGAAGGCGGCCAUCUGGGACAACACUGACGCUGAGGCACGAAAGCGUGGGGAGCAAACAGGAUUAGAUACCCCUGUAGUCCCUGUCUCUUAUAC